rnacentral:rRNA from 1 species
CCUACGGGAGGCAGCAGUAGGGAAUCUUUCACAAUGGGCGAAAGCCUGAUGGAGCAACGCCGCUUUCAGGAUGAAGGCCUUCGGGUUGUAAACUGCUUUUAUAAGCGAGAAAUAUGAUGGUAACUUAUGAAUAAGGAUCGGCUAACUACGUGCCAGCAGCCGCGGUCAUACGUAGGAUCCGAGCAUUAUCCGGAGUGACUGGGUGUAAAGAGUUGCGUAGGUGGCAUAAUAAGUAGCUAGUGAAAUCGGGUGGCUCAACCAUUCAGACUAUUAGCUAAACUGUUAAGCUCGAGACCGUUAGGGGUAACUGGAAUUUCUAGUGUAGGAGUGAAAUCCGUAGAUAUUAGAAGGAACACCAAUAGCGUAGGCAGGUUACUGGGACGGUUCUGACACUAAGGCACGAAAGCGUAGGGAGCAAACGGGAUUAGAUACCCGGGUAGUC